CUUCGUUUGAAGCAAAUCGCUUCCUCCUCCUCUUCUUCUUCGAAACCCUAGAGCAGAGAUUAGAGCGUCGUCAUCCACGAGAAGAGCUCCUGUGGAAGCCCACGUAAUCCCUUCUGAUGGCGGAUAAAUGUUCGCGGCUUCUUGAUUUGGGAUGGAUCGGGAUCGUGGAUUCGUCCGAUGCUUCGGCUAGACUGAAACCAGCAUAAAUGAUCAGAUGAGAUCACCAGGAUCCUAAGAAUAGCAAUUGGUUAAAGACUGCCUUAUAAUAAUCAGAUGAGAUCUCCCCAUUAGCCAGGUCACCAAGGCCGAAAACUAAAGCUUGAAGAGAACGCCAAGGUGGUCAAGGCCAACUUCCCGUGCCAUAUACAUGGGACUUUCUCGAAUAUGUGCUCGUCUUAAUGUCAAACAUGACAACGACAACAUGAGAGGCACGUGUAAGUGAAUCAUGCCUUUGAGCACAUGUUGUUACCGAUUCCCAAUUUGAUACUUGUAUGUUUCUUGUAAAGUUAAUUCGAAGAUGCAUGGCUGGAUGAAGUGUAAUACAAAGGGCCUGUCGAAAGUAUUGAAGCCUUAUAUCCAAGGGAAGCAGCGGUGUGUACACCAUCUCACAGUGUUUGCGCACAACCAGUUCAGUGGAGUCAAUGAUCAAUGAACCUCUUCAGGAAGCAAGAACAACCGAGAAUGAUCCCAUGC